rnacentral:lncRNA from 1 species
AGUGCUCCUCUCUCCCUCCUCAGCCUCAUUGUAUUUUGUUUCAUUUUUUUAUUCUUUGAUAGUCAAAUGAAGAGAGAAAUGUUAUGGAGGAGGCAAAAGGCUUUCGACCUUCAAGAUCUGUAGCUCAGCAGGUCAGUAGGGUGCCACAUGUGAUAAUUUGGCUGAGAUUGUUGAUUUUUAAGUACUGUCCCCUACUUCCCAAUCCUGAUCUUCCUUGCCUCAGGGGGAAAAAUUUAAAUUUCCAGACAAAUUCUUUUGUCUUCAUAUCUAUCUGUACUUGUGGUUGCAGGAACUUGAUGGGAAACCUGCUUCCCCUACUCCAGUUAUUGUGGCUUCCCAAACAGCCAACGAAGAAGAAGAGGUACCAGAUUCUGCAGUGCUGGAGCUGAGCUGAUGGCAUGGCAGUCCUACAGCGAGGGACAGAGGGAGUGGCUGGAACAGAGCAUCUGGUUGAAGCUGGGUUCAGGUCUGGAUACAGACCGGCUCCAUGCCUCGAGAACCUGUCAAGAACCUCCACAGUGACACUGGAAUUCUGAGGGCCGCCAUGACCAUUUGAGGUAGCUUGGUCUGGAAAUGGAUCUGAUCCCUUAGCCUCACUGUAGAACAGAACUAAACAUGGUUAGGACAUGGUGUGCCUUGUCCCACAACCUGACAAGAAAAAAGGACAAAGUGGAAGAGAAAAACUAAUAAUAAAAAGGAACUAAUAACUAGAAAGUAGAUGUGGCGUGAUUUACUCUGUCCUUUCAUCUCUUGUAGAAAAGACAGAUAACCUAAUGAGAUCUUGGUAGUCUUGUGGAA